UACGGGGGGCAGCAGUGGGGAAUAUUGCACAAUGGGCGAAAGCCUGAUGCAGCGACGCCGCGUGAGGGAUGACGGCCUUCGGGUUGUAAACCUCUUUCAGCAGGGACGAAGCGCAAGUGACGGUACCUGCAGAAGAAGCACCGGCUAACUACGUGCCAGCAGCCGCGGUAAUA
rnacentral:rRNA from 1 species